UCUGUUCAAUUCGACAAGUGCACUCACGGCGGAACUGCCACCGGUAUAACGUCUUGACGAUGGGCUUCAGGGUUUGACACUCCGCAGCGCCACCAGCUCUGUUUUCUCCCCAAGCCUUCUCGCUGUGCGGUGAGUGGAUAGCUGGGCGCGCAGUGUGGCAGUGGCGGCGAAGAUUGGCGCUAUCAGGAGGAGCAAAAGGGAAGGAUCUGCUGCUGGGGGCUCCCUGGGUGACCCUUUGCUAGGCGAAAAGAACCCGUCGAGAGAGAAGCGCUUGGCAGGAGCUCUCUGCGGGACAUAAGCUCCCUGGCUGCUCGGGAUCCCUACGUCCGCUGCUGCGGAAGGAACACAGGGGAGGACGCAAGCGGUUGCUUACUGGAGCCUGGAGGUAAGCAAGGGGGUGGGAUCCUGAUUCUCAGCCCAGAUUCCAAAAGGGUGUCUGAUUUCAUGGAAACAUUCUUCUCACCCUCAUUUAUCAUCGCACACCCCACCCCCGCUUUUCAGAUCCAGGUUCAGGAAUAACCAAAUCCUUGGCACCCUCACAAGGUGGAAGUACCUUUCACAGCUCAUCGCCUGAAUGCCUUGCUCCUUACAUAUAUAUGUUUGUGUUGGGGGAAUGUGAGCUUCUCAGGGAAGUUG
rnacentral:lncRNA from 1 species